AAGUGGGCUGUGCGUGUGUGUGUGCACAUGUGCAUGUAUACACACACACACACACACACACACACACACACACACGCAUGCGCACACACACACA
rnacentral:miRNA from 1 species